UACAGCAGGGUUGUUAAAGUUAUUCUUUUUCUUUACUAUCUCUUUACGAAUUUUUUCCUCUGAUUUUUUGGUCGAUUAAUAAAUGUUUUUUGACCUCUCCUCUGGAGAUGCAAAAAGCUUGUAAAUAUAUCGAGGAAGGUGAUGGAAGAAGAGUGGGGCCACGGCGAGCUGGAGGCUGAGGAGAAACGCUGAUGAGGGAGCCAAGUGCGAGCGAAUGAGGGAACUGAGGAUAACAUUUGAUUAAUGGCAACAGGUAUGCUAAACCAGCACUAGUGCAUGAUAUUGCUGAAGGUUCCGCGAGAUCCAGCUCUCACCAUUCAGGAGUUUGAAACUGCUCCACAGCUCAUAACUGUCUCCUUUUGCAAGCAUCCCCGAUGACAGGGAUCUUCUUGUGGCGGUCCUCUUGCUACCCUCAGCUCCGCUGUGCGUAGUCUAUUCUUUGCUGCUAACCAAAGGAGACUAAUCCUCACCUGGGCAUUGAUUGCAAUGGCAAUGGGACUAAUGACAUGUGUGAACAAAAUGUAUACGAAACCUUAAUCGGAAAGCAGCAGCAGAUCUUGCUUGCGACUCAAGUUGUUAAGAUGAUAUUGAAAAUUGAUGUUAUUUUGCCAUCUGAUUAUUAAUCAUCAGGUUUAAACUAGUUUCCCACGUUCAGAUUCCGAGUAAUAUGUUGGGUUUA